rnacentral:rRNA from 1 species
UGGGGAAUAUUGCGCAAUGGGCGAAAGCCUGACGCAGCAACGCCGCGUGAGUGAUGAAGGCCUUCGGGUCGUAAAGCUCUGUCGGAGGGAACGAAUGCUCCUGAAGUUAACAGCCUCAGGAGGUGACGGUACCCUCAAAGGAAGCACCGGCUAACUCCGUGCCAGCAGCCGCGGUAAUACGGAGGGUGCGAGCGUUAAUCGGAAUUACUGGGCGUAAAGCGCGCGUAGGCGGCUUUGUAAGUCGGAUGUGAAAGCCCCGGGCUUAACCUGGGAAUUGCAUUCGAUACUGCAUAGCUAGAGUAUGGUAGAGGGUAGCGGAAUUCCGGGUGUAGCGGUGAAAUGCGUAGAUAUCCGGAGGAACACCAGUGGCGAAGGCGGCUACCUGGACCAAUACUGACGCUGAGGCGCGAAAGCGUGGGGAGCAAACAGGAUUAGAUACCCAGGUAGUCCCUGAGCGGGCUGGCAAGGCGCAU